rnacentral:tRNA from 1 species
GCGGGAGUCCGAUAGCGGUCAAUUCGGCUGGCUUGAGGGGCCAGUGACUUAGUGUCUUCGAGAGUUCGAAUCUCUCCUCCCGCA